rnacentral:rRNA from 1 species
AUUGAACGCUGGCGGCAGGCUUAACACAUGCAAGUCGAGCGGGGGAAGGUAGCUUGCUACCGGACCUAGCGGCGGACGGGUGAGUAAUGCUUAGGCAUCUGCCUAUUAGUGGGGGACAACAUCUCGAAAGGGAUGCUAAUACCGCAUACGUCCUACGGGAGCAAGCAGGGGAUCUUCGGAACUUGCGCUAAUAGAUGUGCCUAAGUCGGAUUAGCUAGUUGGUGGGGUAAAGGCCUUCCAAGGCGACGAUCUGUAGUGGGUCUGAGAGGAUGAUCCGCCACACUGGGACUGAGACAAGGCCCAGAAUCCUACGGGAGGCAGCAGUGGGGAAUAUUGGACAAUGGGGGGAACCCUGAUCCAGCCAUGCCGCGUGUGUGAAGAAGGCCUUAUGGUUGUAAAGCACUUUAAGCGAGGAGGAGGCUACUUUAGUUAAUACCUGGAGAUAGUGGACGUUACUCGCAGAAUAAGCACCGGCUAACUCUGUGCCAGCAGCCGCCGCUG